GUGAAGCUGUCUCAUCUGUGACAUCAGACUUAUCUAUCUUAUUCACUGUCUCAUCUGACAGUAUUCCUUCAUUGGUCAAUGAUUUGAGAUGUCGUGAGGCAAUUGAACCAGUGGACACAGUUCCAGACAAAAGCUCACUGGGAGCAAUACUACCCUUCUCGUCAAUUUUUGUUAAACUCGAAACUUCAACAGGAUUUUCCUGCCUAGAACAUGAAAUAUUCAAUUCUCCAGAUUCAAGUGACUGAAUAUCAUUUGGAAAUUCUGAAGUCUGAGAGUUCAGCACAUCAACAAAAUCGAGGCCAUCUCCCCCACAGUUUGUACUG
rnacentral:misc_RNA from 1 species